rnacentral:lncRNA from 1 species
GUUUAUUACACAAAGCAGGACACUGCAUCAAGGAGGAAGACAAAAUAUUUAGCUUUGCCUUUUUGUGAAUGAGCCUUAGAAUAAAGCCAGAUCUGCUUUUCUGGAGGACACUUCUUUGCCAUUCUCAUUUUUUAUUUUAUAACUUCCUUUCGGCAUUUAAAGUCUAUGAGAUCUGAAGAGUUGAAUUUGUGCAAUACUUUCAACCUUGCCUAACAACAUGGAACACAUACGAAGUGCCACUAGUGAUGCUGGAAGUGCUUCCGAGAAGCAGAGAAGUCAUGGCGUUGCAAAAAAAAGCUGAAUUGCUUGAUAUGUACCAUAGACUGAGAUUUGCAGCUGCAGUUACCUGCCAUUUCAGAGAUUCAUCUUGUAAACAAAUGACUAAACUUGUGGUAUCAAUAAAUACAAUACAGUACUAAAAU